GCCAUUUGUAAACAGCAGAUACUGUAUUGGACAACCCAGGCUGCCAUGUCAACCAUAGUAAAUGCUACAAAUAAUAAUUUGACAACUCAUGAGUUCUUCCAGAACCAUGCAUUGGAACAGGAAGACAGCUAGAGAAUGGACACUUGGCAUUACUUGGAAACGAUACCUUUUCAACAAUCUAUUGCAUUCAUGCUGUCAAAGAGCAAGGAUUUGAAAAGCUAAUUAAUUAUCUCCUUUCUUAUCUAAGAGCUUCUGCUGCGCAUACCCUCUCAACAUUCUGAAGUGGAGCCUGAUGUCACCAGCAGCAGAUCCCAGA
rnacentral:lncRNA from 1 species